rnacentral:rRNA from 1 species
UACGUAGGCAGCAAGCGUUGUUCGGAGUUACUGGGCGUAAAGGGUGCGUAGGCGGCUUUUUAAGUCUGGUGUGAAAUCUCCCGGCUUAACUGGGAGGGUGCGGCGGAAACUGGAAUGCUAGAGGGUGGGAGAGGUAAGCGGAAUUCCUGGUGUAGCGGUGAAAUGCGUAGAUAUCAGGAGGAACACCUGUGGUGUAGACAGCUUACUGGACCACUUCUGACGCUGAGACACGAAAGCGUGGGUAGCAAACAGG